rnacentral:rRNA from 1 species
UACAGAGGGCCCAAGCGUUGUUCGGAUUCACUGGGCGUAAAGGGUGCGUAGGCGGUCGGGUAAGUCUGAUGUGAAAUCUCACAGCUUAACUGUGAAACUGCAUUGGAUACUAUUCGGCUUGAGAGUUGGAGGGAGGACUGGAAUUCUUGGUGUAGCAGUGAAAUGCGUAGAUAUCAAGAGGAACACCAGUGGCGAAGGCGAGUCCCUGGACAACUUCUGACGCUGAGGCACGAAAGCUAGGGGAGCAAACAGG